rnacentral:rRNA from 1 species
GAACUUGCCCUUUAGACUGGGAUAACAGAGGGAAACUUCUGAUAAUACUGGAUAAGUUAGUAUAUCGCAUGAUAUGCAAAUGAAAGCUACGGCACUAAAGGAGAGCUUUGCGUCCUAUUAGCUAGUUGGUAAGGUAAGAGCUUACCAAGGCGAUGAUAGGUAGCCGGCCUGAGAGGGUGGACGGCCACAAGGGGACUGAGAUACGGCCCUUACCUCCUACGGAGGCAGCAGCG